rnacentral:pre_miRNA from 1 species
UUAACUCAAAUUUGUAUGGAGUUGGAAUGUUUGCCUGCGUUUGCCGCUAGGGCGCUGUUCCAACUCCAUUCAAAUAUAAGUUA